UGAGGAACAUGACCUUCGGCGGGGGAUAGCCGGCCCAACGGCCGGGUAAUACCGCGUACGACCUUUCGGGGACAUCCCCGGAUGGUGAAAGCAGCAAUGCGCCGAUGGAGUGCCUCGCGGCCUAUCAGCUAGUUGGUGAGGUAACGGCUCACCAAGGCAACGACGGGUAGCUGGUCUGAGAGGAUGGCCAGCCACAUUGGGACUGAGACACGGCCCAGACCUCCGUACGGGGUGGNAGCG
rnacentral:rRNA from 1 species